rnacentral:rRNA from 1 species
ACUGAACGCUGGCGGCAGGCCUAACACAUGCAAGUCGAGCGGAUGAAGGGAGCUUGCUCCUGGAUUCAGCGGCGGACGGGUGAGUAAUGCCUAGGAAUCUGCCUGGUAGUGGGGGAUAACGUCCGGAAACGGGCGCUAAUACCGCAUACGUCCUGAGGGAGAAAGUGGGGGAUCUUCGGACCUCACGCUAUCAGAUGAGCCUAGGUCGGAUUAGCUAGUUGGUGGGGUAAAGGCCUACCAAGGCGACGAUUCGUAACUGGUCUGAGAGGAUGAUCAGUCACACUGGAACUGAGACACGGUCCAGACUCCUACGGGAGGCAGCAGUGGGGAAUAUUGGACAAUGGGCGAAAGCCUGAUCCAGCCAUGCCGCGUGUGUGAAGAAGGUCUUCGGAUUGUAAAGCACUUUAAGUUGGGAGGAAGGGCAGUAAGUUAAUACCUUGCUGUUUUGACGUUACCAACAGAAUAAGCACCGGCUAACUUCGUG